rnacentral:rRNA from 1 species
UUCCGCUCAGAACGAACGCUGGCGGCAGGCCUAACACAUGCAAGUCGAACGUGAAGCCACCUUCGGGUGGUGGAAAGUGGCAGACGGGUGAGUAACACGUGGGAACGUGCCCUUUGGUUCGGAAUAACCCAGGGAAACUUGGGCUAAUACCGGAUACGCCCUUCGGGGGAAAGAUUUAUCGCCAAAGGAUCGGCCCGCGCCGGAUUAGCUUGUUGGUGAGGUAAUGGCUCACCAAGGCUACGAUCCGUAGCUGGUCUGAGAGGAUGACCAGCCACACUGGGACUGAGACACGGCCCAGACUCCUACGGGAGGCAGCAGUGGGGAAUAUUGGACAAUGGGCGAAAGCCUGAUCCAGCCAUGCCGCGUGGGUGAAGAAGGCCUUAGGGUUGUAANCCCUNUCAGCGGGGAAGAUAAAGACGGACCCGCAGAAGAAG